rnacentral:rRNA from 1 species
AAGGAGGUGAUCCAGCCGCAGAGUCUGAGCCAGGAUCAAACAAGAGUUUGAUCCUGGCUCAGGACGAACGCUGGCGGCGUGCCUAAUACAUGCAAGUCGAACGCAUUUUCUUUCACCGUAGCUUGCUACACCGAAAGAAAAUGAGUGGCGAACGGGUGAGUAACACGUGGGUAACCUGCCCAUCAGCGGGGGAUAACACUUGGAAACAGGUGCUAAUACCGCAUAAUUCCAUUUACCGCAUGGUAGAUGGAUGAAAGGCGCUUUUGCGUCACUGAUGGAUGGACCCGCGGUGCAUUAGCUAGUUGGUGGGGUAACGGCCUACCAAGGCUGCGAUGCAUAGCCGACCUGAGAGGGUGAUCGGCCACACUGGGACUGAGACACGGCCCAGACUCCUACGGGAGGCAGCAGUAGGGAAUCUUCGGCAAUGGACGCAAGUCUGACCGAGCAACGCCGCGUGAGUGAAGAAGGUUUUCGGAUCGUAAAACUCUGUUGUUAGAGAAGAACAAGGAUGAGAGUGGAAAGUUCAUCCCUUGACGGUAUCUAACCAGAA